CAAAAAUAGUUUAAGGUGAAUUGUAAUUUGAAUCAGUAGUGCUACUUAUGAGUAAAAAUAAAAUAACCUGACUUCUAAAUUUUCUAAAUUCAGCCAACAAGCUGACAUAAAUUUCAAAUCCAUUGUUCUUACAUACAACCAUGGAAAUAAGAUAUAAUAGUUAACAAAAAUUCAAAUCUAAUGUUCUUAUUAGGAAAACCACACAGGAAAAAAAAAAAGAAGAAGAAGAAGAAUUCAACACUCAAUAGUAUCCUUUAUUCAAGCAAGUGCAACAAGACUGAAGAGAAGCCAUCACUCCAUGCUUCUACACUUCAUCAUCUAUUCAUCAUCCUUGGCAUUGUUGUUCGAUAAAUAUCUGUCUGCACAAAUUGUAGUCAAUUAUAUAAAAUGAAGUUAAAACUAAAAAUAUAAUUGUUUUUUCAUCAAAUUUUCUGCGUGCAAAUACAAGUCAAGUCUGUGACCAUAUUUCUGUAUUUUGUUUCAUCGAGUGUAUAUCUGAACAAUCCAAAAGAUUUAUUUCCUACCAGUUAACUGGUCAUCUGCGAAAGUACAAUGAGUUAUAAAUGACGAUAAUCUUUUGUACAAUCAGAAUUUGUCAUCAUAUUUCAGGUAUUUAUGAUUCACAUCAUUGCUUGAAGAACAAGAAACAUGGCGACCCUAAUCUUUUAUUGCAUCACACUAUUAAAAGAGGAACAGAAAGCGGUUAUGAUGCUGCAAUUUGAGAUGUAUAAAACCAAUAGAUAGAUCUUCAAACAAAAUAUUUUCUCCUCAAUUUUCAAUGUGACUAAUUGAAAUAUAAAGAAAGAAGAUGAAAAUUUA
rnacentral:lncRNA from 1 species